AGGGCGCACGGUGGAUGCCUUGGCACUAGAAGCCGAUGAAGGACGUUACUAACGACGAUAUGCUUUGGGGAGCUGUAAGUAAGCUUUGAUCCAGAGAUUUCCGAAUGGGGAAACCCAGCAUGAGUUAUGUCAUGUUAUCGAUAUGUGAAUACAUAGCAUAUCAGAAGGCACACCCGGAGAACUGAAACAUCUUAGUACCCGGAGGAAGAGAAAGAAAAUUCGAUUCCCUUAGUAGCGGCGAGCGAAACGGGAAGAGCCCAAACCAACAAGCUUGCUUGUUGGGGUUGUAGGACACUCUAUACGGAGUUACAAAGGACGACAUUAGACGAAUCAUCUGGAAAGAUGAAUCAAAGAAGGUAAUAAUCCUGUAGUCGAAAAUGUUGUCUCUCUUGAGUGGAUCCUGAGUACGACGGAGCACGUGAAAUUCCGUCGGAAUCUGGGAGGACCAUCUCCUAAGGCUAAAUACUCUCUAGUGACCGAUAGUGAACCAGUACCGUGAGGGAAAGGUGAAAAGCACCCCGGAAGGGGAGUGAAAUAGAACCUGAAACCGUGUGCUUACAAGUAGUCAGAGCCCGUUAAUGGGUGAUGGCGUGCCUUUUGUAGAAUGAACCGGCGAGUUACGAUUUGAUGCAAGGUUAAGCAGUAAAUGUGGAGCCGUAGCGAAAGCGAGUCUGAAUAGGGCGUUUAGUAUUUGGUCGUAGACCCGAAACCAGGUGAUCUACCCUUGGUCAGGUUGAAGUUCAGGUAACACUGAAUGGAGGACCGAACCGACUUACGUUGAAAAGUGAGCGGAUGAACUGAGGGUAGCGGAGAAAUUCCAAUCGAACCUGGAGAUAGCUGGUUCUCUCCGAAAUAGCUUUAGGGCUAGCCUCAAGUGAUGAUUAUUGGAGGUAGAGCACUGUUUGGACGAGGGGCCCCUCUCGGGUUACCGAAUUCAGACAAACUCCGAAUGCCAAUUAAUUUAACUUGGGAGUCAGAACAUGGGUGAUAAGGUCCGUGUUCGAAAGGGAAACAGCCCAGACCACCAGCUAAGGUCCCAAAAUAUAUGUUAAGUGGAAAAGGAUGUGGCGUUGCCCAGACAACUAGGAUGUUGGCUUAGAAGCAGCCAUCAUUUAAAGAGUGCGUAAUAGCUCACUAGUCGAGUGACACUGCGCCGAAAAUGUACCGGGGCUAAACAUAUUACCGAAGCUGUGGAUUGUCCUUUGGACAAUGGUAGGAGAGCGUUCUAAGGGCGUUGAAGCAUGAUCGUAAGGACAUGUGGAGCGCUUAGAAGUGAGAAUGCCGGUGUGAGUAGCGAAAGACGGGUGAGAAUCCCGUCCACCGAUUGACUAAGGUUUCCAGAGGAAGGCUCGUCCGCUCUGGGUUAGUCGGGUCCUAAGCUGAGGCCGACAGGCGUAGGCGAUGGAUAACAGGUUGAUAUUCCUGUACCACCUAUAAUCGUUUUAAUCGAUGGGGGGACGCAGUAGGAUAGGCGAAGCGUGCGAUUGGAUUGCACGUCUAAGCAGUAAGGCUGAGUAUUAGGCAAAUCCGGUACUCGUUAAGGCUGAGCUGUGAUGGGGAGAAGACAUUGUGUCUUCGAGUCGUUGAUUUCACACUGCCGAGAAAAGCCUCUAGAUAGAAAAUAGGUGCCCGUACCGCAAACCGACACAGGUAGUCAAGAUGAGAAUUCUAAGGUGAGCGAGCGAACUCUCGUUAAGGAACUCGGCAAAAUGACCCCGUAACUUCGGGAGAAGGGGUGCUCUUUAGGGUUAACGCCCAGAAGAGCCGCAGUGAAUAGGCCCAAGCGACUGUUUAUCAAAAACACAGGUCUCUGCUAAACCGUAAGGUGAUGUAUAGGGGCUGACGCCUGCCCGGUGCUGGAAGGUUAAGAGGAGUGGUUAGCUUCUGCGAAGCUACGAAUCGAAGCCCCAGUAAACGGCGGCCGUAACUAUAACGGUCCUAAGGUAGCGAAAUUCCUUGUCGGGUAAGUUCCGACCCGCACGAAAGGCGUAACGAUUUGGGCACUGUCUCAACGAGAGACUCGGUGAAAUCAUAGUACCUGUGAAGAUGCAGGUUACCCGCGACAGGACGGAAAGACCCCGUGGAGCUUUACUGUAGCCUGAUAUUGAAAUUCGGCACAGCUUGUACAGGAUAGGUAGGAGCCUUUGAAACGUGAGCGCUAGCUUACGUGGAGGCGCUGGUGGGAUACUACCCUAGCUGUGUUGGCUUUCUAACCCGCACCACUUAUCGUGGUGGGAGACAGUGUCAGGCGGGCAGUUUGACUGGGGCGGUCGCCUCCUAAAAGGUAACGGAGGCGCUCAAAGGUUCCCUCAGAAUGGUUGGAAAUCAUUCAUAGAGUGUAAAGGCAUAAGGGAGCUUGACUGCGAGACCUACAAGUCGAGCAGGGUCGAAAGACGGACUUAGUGAUCCGGUGGUUCCGCAUGGAAGGGCCAUCGCUCAACGGAUAAAAGCUACCCCGGGGAUAACAGGCUUAUCUCCCCCAAGAGUUCACAUCGACGGGGAGGUUUGGCACCUCGAUGUCGGCUCAUCGCAUCCUGGGGCUGUAGUCGGUCCCAAGGGUUGGGCUGUUCGCCCAUUAAAGCGGUACGCGAGCUGGGUUCAGAACGUCGUGAGACAGUUCGGUCCCUAUCCGUCGUGGGCGUAGGAAAUUUGAGAGGAGCUGUCCUUAGUACGAGAGGACCGGGAUGGACAUACCUCUGGUGUACCAGUUGUCGUGCCAACGGCAUAGCUGGGUAGCUAUGUGUGGACGGGAUAAGUGCUGAAAGCAUCUAAGCAUGAAGCCCCCCUCAAGAUGAGAUUUCCCAACUUCGGUUAUAGCAUGCAAAAAUUGGUUUCGUUGUUGGAUAAUUAUUUUGU
rnacentral:rRNA from 1 species